rnacentral:rRNA from 1 species
UCAGCGACUUAUAUUCUGUAGCAAGGUUAACCGAAUAGGGGAGCCGUAGGGAAACCGAGUCUUAACCGGGCGUUAAGUUGCAGGGUAUAGACCCGAAACCCGGUGAUCUAGCCAUGGGCAGGUUGAAGGUUGGGUAACACUAACUGGAGGACCGAACCGACUAAUGUUGAAAAAUUAGCGGAUGACCUGUGGCUGGGGGUGAAAGGCCAAUCAAACCGGGAGAUAGCUGGUUCUCCCCGAAAGCUAUUUAGGUAGCGCCUCGUGAAUUCAUCUCCGGGGGUAGAGCACUGUUUCGGCUAGGGGGCCAUCCCGGCUUACCAACCCGAUGCAAACUGCGAAUACCGGAGAAUGUUAUCACGGGAGACACACGGCGGGUGCUAACGUCCGUCGUGAAGAGGGAAACAACCCAGACCGCCAGCUAAGGUCCCAAAGUCAUGGUUAAGUGGGAAACGAUGUGGGAAGGCCCAGACAGCCAGGAUGUUGGCUUAGAAGCAGCCAUCAUUUAAAGAAAGCGUAAUAGCUCACUGGUCGAGUCGGCCUGCGCGGAAGAUGUAACGGGGCUAAACCAUGCACCGAAGCUGCGGCAGCGAACGUAUCACCCAAGACAACUUUGCGGAGUUGACGAUUGACGGAGCGAAGCGACGUCAAAGCGUUCAUUAAAGUCGAGUUGGCUUAGGGAUACGUUCGUUGGGUAGGGGAGCGUUCUGUAAGCCAGUGAAGGUGUGUCGUGAGGCAUGCUGGAGGUAUCAGAAGUGCGAAUGCUGACAUAAGUAACGAUAAAGCGGGUGAAAAGCCCGCUCGCCGGAAGACCAAGGGUUCCUGUCCAACGUUAAUCGGGGCAGGGUGAGUCGACCCCUAAGGCGAGGCCGAAAGGCGUAGUCGAUGGGAAACGGGUUAAUAUUCCCGUACUUGGUGUUACUGCGAAGGGGGGACGGAGAAGGCUAUGUUGGCCGGGCGACGGUUGUCCCGGUUUAAGCGUGUAGGUGUGUGUUCCAGGUAAAUCCGGUUCACUUUAACACUGAGGCGUGACGACGAGGCACUACGGUGCUGAAGCAACAAAUGCCCUGCUUCCAGGAAAAGCCUCUAAGCAUCAGGUAACAUCAAAUCGUACCCCAAACCGACACAGGUGGUCAGGUAGAGAAUACCAAGGCGCUUGAGAGAACUCGGGUGAAGGAACUAGGCAAAAUGGUGCCGUAACUUCGGGAGAAGGCACGCUGACACGUAGGUGAAGUGAUUUACUCAUGGAGCUGAAGUCAGUCGAAGAUACCAGCUGGCUGCAACUGUUUAUUAAAAACACAGCACUGUGCAAACACGAAAGUGGACGUAUACGGUGUGACGCCUGCCCGGUGCCGGAAGGUUAAUUGAUGGGGUCAGCGCAAGCGAAGCUCCUGAUCGAAGCCCCGGUAAACGGCGGCCGUAACUAUAACGGUCCUAAGGUAGCGAAAUUCCUUGUCGGGUAAGUUCCGACCUGCACGAAUGGCGUAAUGAUGGCCAGGCUGUCUCCACCCGAGACUCAGUGAAAUUGAACUCGCUGUGAAGAUGCAGUGUACCCGCGGCAAGACGGAAAGACCCCGUGAACCUUUACUAUAGCUUGACACUGAACAUUGAGCCUUGAUGUGUAG